UAGACCAGCAUUGAAUGAACCACUCAUUUGCAGCCUGUCCUUGGCCCGCAGGUCCCCAAGCUUGCCAUUUCUGCUAUUGCCUGAGCUCUUUGAGGCAUUUGUCUCUUCCUUCCUGUACCAAGAUUUAAAGUAAUCACUCAAUAAACAUUCUAAGGCAACUCCUCAUUCUUGUGGAAAGAAAAUAAAACUGAGAAAAGGUGAGACUAUUUUCUAUUUCCUAUAGGAGCAAAAAAAAUCCCACUCUGUGUGUAUGUGUUUGGGCGUGCAUGUGUGUGUCUUCUAGAAGAAAGCAGCACCAUGAUGAAGCACCCAGAAAAUAAUUUGGGAUGCUAAUUAAAUUAAGGAGGUCCCCUUGACAGGUCUGUGGAAUGAAAAGUUUUGAGAAUUGGUAAAUUCCCUGUCUUGGACAUUAGGAAGACUGACAAUUGUUUCAAUUCCAAUUCAAUUCAACUACAUAGGUCAAAAUUUAAAACUUCCACAAUCAAUUCCCUUCUUUUUCAAUUAAAGAAUAUAGCAGCUAUCUUCUUUAGUCAUCAUAGAGUUGAAUAGAAAUCAGAAAUAAUGAGAUAAUAUGAUUUCAACAUGUUUUCAGAUGAUACAAGAAUCACUCUCAAUAUCAUGUAAACAAUUUCUUCUCUGCCCCUAUCAUCAUGCAGCAAUGAAAUCUCUGGAACAAUUUAACAAUGGAGCAUAAAGGAACUAAACAAGAAGCAGCAGACUAUCAUAGGAGUGCAGUGUCACCCUGACAAAAGGGAGGAGCCGGUGUCGGUCAGUGCUGGGUUCCUCACAGAGGAUCCUGAGAAGUAUCUACAGGAAGAGGAAGAGCUGAUCCAUUCUGGAUUGGUUGCCGUUUCUGGGACAGGGUUAUGAGAGGUAGGGAUUAACUACGGGUUGUGUGCUGCCAGGAGGGUGGAAAGGUUUAACAACUGAGCCUACAGUUGGAAAUAGCAAAGGGCAUCUGGGAGAGUCACUGUUGAGAAAGUAGUCAG
rnacentral:lncRNA from 1 species